rnacentral:tRNA from 1 species
GAGGGUACAGCUCAGUGGUAGAGUGUGUGCUUAGCAUGCACGAGGUCCUGGGUUCAAUCCCCAGUAUCUCCA